rnacentral:rRNA from 1 species
UACAGAGGUCUCAAGCGUUGUUCGGAUUCAUUGGGCGUAAAGGGUGUGUAGGUGGCGCGGUAAGUCGGGUGUGAAAUUUCGGAGCUUAACUCCGAAACUGCAUUCGAUACUGCCGUGCUUGAGGACUGGAGAGGAGACUGGAAUUCAUGGUGUAGCAGUGAAAUGCGUAGAGAUCGUGAGGAAGACCAGUGGCGAAGGCGGGUCUCUGGACAGUUCCUGACGCUGAGACACGAAGGCCAGGGGAGCAAACGGG